rnacentral:tRNA from 1 species
GGACUGUAGCUCAGUGGUAGGGCGCUUGCCUAGCAAGAGUAAGGUACUGGGUUCCAUCUUCAGCACCACAUGAAAAAUAAAUAAAUAAAGGUAUUGUGUCCAUCACAACUAAAAAUUAUUUUAAAAAGGGGGAGGGCAGGGGCUGGGAUUGUGGCUCAGCAGUAAAGCGCUUGCCUAGCAUGUGCCAGGCCCUGGGUUCAAUCCUCAGCACCA